rnacentral:rRNA from 1 species
GCAGUCGCCACGGUAAUACGAAGGGUGCAAGCGUUAAUCGGAAUUACUGGGCGUAAAGCGCACGCAGGCGGUUUGUUAAGUCAGAUGUGAAAUCCCCGAGCUUAACUUGGGAACUGCAUUUGAAACUGGCAAGCUAGAGUCUUGUAGAGGGGGGUAGAAUUCCAGGUGUAGCGGUGAAAUGCGUAGAGAUCUGGAGGAAUACCGGUGGCGAAGGCGGCCCCCUGGACGAAGACUGACGCUCAGGUGCGAAAGCGUGGGGAGCAAACAGGAUUAGAUACCCGAGUAGUCCCUGUCUCUUAUAA